CUCAAACGCAUCUCCCGCCGCGGGGCGGGAUCUAGGGGCCCAGGCCCCGGGGUCCAGAGGCGGGUAACUUUGCUAAUCUCCCCCAGCGGCGGGGAACGUCGCGCAACCGCUGAGCCCUGUCCGCCGAGACUAAACAAGCAGAGGAACAGGCUGUAAACACACAUCCUGACACGCAGGGAUGUUGCUCUUGGAGAAUGUGAAGACAGUUUGCUUCUUGACAAGCGAGCGAACGGGCGCCCAGAUUUUUGCAGCCUUUCCGAGUCUCCCCCGAGGGAGAGGCGGCAGAGAAAACGCCGGAUUUGGGAGCCACCAGGGAAGGAUCCGCGCAGGGGAGCCGCCCUCCUUGGCCCCAGACCCGCCUGCCUGGGGCCCCCUUUGCUCACUGUCAAUGUAUGGUCUGAAGCUCUGAGGAUGGUGCUGGGGACUGGGGUCGGGGGAAGCCUCUUGAAUAAUAACUGCAAAGAAGAAAGAGGCGAGAACGUCUCCCUAACCUUGAAGCAGAAAGGACUGUGUUCUUAAAGCUGUUGGCUGCAGUCACAGGGCCAGUUGCCCGCCUCUGUUCCCUGAGUAAAGUGUAACAUCUUCUGUC
rnacentral:lncRNA from 1 species